rnacentral:rRNA from 1 species
UACGAGUGCCCCGAGCGUUAUCCGGAAUCAUUGGGCGUAAAGGGUGUGUAGGUGGUCUUGUUAGUCUUCUGUCAAAUUCUUCGGCUUAACCGGGGGUCCGCAGGGGAAACGGCAAGACUAGAGGAUGCGAAGGGUGAAUGGAACUCAUAGUGGAGGGGUGAAAUCCGUUGAUAUUAUGGGGAACACCAAAAGCGAAGGCAAUUCACUGGCGCACUUCCUGACACUGAAACACGAAAGCGUGGGUAGCGAAUGGG